UACGUAGGGGGCAAGCGUUGUCCGGAUUUAUUGGGCGUAAAGAGCGUGUAGGCGGCCAGACAGGUCCGUUGUGAAAACUAGAGGCUUAACCUCUAGACGUCGAUGGAAACCGUCUGGCUAGAGUCCGGAAGAGGAGAAUGGAUUCCUGGUGUAGGCGGUGGAAUGCGUAGAGAUCGGGAAGAACAUCAGUGGCGAAGGCGGCCUGCUGGGCUGUUGCUGACGCUGAGGCGCGGACAGCGUGGGGAGCAAACGAGG
rnacentral:rRNA from 1 species